rnacentral:rRNA from 1 species
AGCAUGUGGUUAAUUCGAAGCAACGCGAAGAACCUUACCAGGCCUUGACAUGCAGAGAACUUCCAGAGAUGGAUUGGUGCCUUCGGGAACUCUGACACAGGUGCUGCAUGGCUGUCGUCAGCUCGUGUCGUGACGAUGUUGGGUUAAGUCCCGUAACGAGCGCAACCCUUGUCCUUAGUUACCAGCACGUUAUGGUGGGCACUCUAAGGAGACUGCCGGUGACAAACCGGAGGAAGUGGGGAUGACGUCAAGUCAUCAUGGCCCUUACGGCCUGGGCUACACACGUGCUACAAUGGUCGGUACAAAGGGUUGCCAAGCCGCGAGGUGGAGCUAAUCCCAUAAAACCGAUCGUAGUCCGGAUCGCAGUCUGCAACUCGACUGCGUGAAGUCGGAAUCGCUAGUAAUCGUGAAUCAGAAUGUCACGGUGAAUACGUUCCCGGGCCUU